CAUAACUGAGGCGCUUUGCUUCCUGUUUCUAACGCACAACCCAGCGGACGCGCUAUCGGAUGCUGAAGAAGAGUUCAUGGUGAAUUUGCGGAUGUUCAUAUACCGCUUACCUCAUGACCAGCGUUGGCAGACGCUGGCGUUCAUGUUUUCGUACGUGGUAACGUGCAUCCAGUUCAACGUCACGCCUCCUCCUGCACAACCGACGACGCUGCCUGUGAA